CCUACGGGGUGCUGCAGUGGGGAAUAUUGGACAAUGGGCGAAAGCCUGAUCCAGCCAUGCCGCGUGUGUGAAGAAGGCCUUCGGGUUGUAAAGCACUUUCAGUGGGGAAGAAAGCCUUGGGGCUAAUACCCUCGAGGAAGGACAUCACCCACAGAAGAAGCACCGGCUAACUCCGUGCCAGCAGCCGCGGUAAUACGGAGGGUGCGAGCGUUAAUCGGAAUUACUGGGCGUAAAGCGCGCGUAGGCGGUCUGAUAAGCCGGUUGUGAAAGCCCCGGGCUCAACCUGGGAACGGCAUCCGGAACCGUCAGGCUAGAGUGCAGGAGAGGAAGGUAGAAUUCCCGGUGUAGCGGUGAAAUGCGUAGAGAUCGGGAGGAAUACCAGUGGCGAAGGCGGCCUUCUGGACUGACACUGACGCUGAGGUGCGAAAGCGUGGGUAGCAAACAGGAUUAGAUACCCUGGUAGUC
rnacentral:rRNA from 1 species